GAUGAACGCUGGCGGCGUGCCUAAUACAUGCAAGUCGAGCGAACAGACGAGGAGCUUGCUCCUCUGACGUUAGCGGCGGACGGGUGAGUAACACGUGGAUAACCUACCUAUAAGACUGGGAUAACUUCGGGAAACCGGAGCUAAUACCGGAUAAUAUAUUGAACCGCAUGGUUCAAUAGUGAAAGACGGUUUUGCUGUCACUUAUAGAUGGAUCCGCGCCGCAUUAGCUAGUUGGUAAGGUAACGGCUUACCAAGGCAACGAUGCGUAGCCGACCUGAGAGGGUGAUCGGCCACACUGGAACUGAGACACGGUCCAGACUCCUACGGGAGGCAGCAGUAGGGAAUCUGCCGCAGUGGGCGAAAGCCUGACGGAGCAACGCCGCGUGAGUGAUGAAGGUCUUCGGAUCGUAAAACUCUGUUAUUAGGGAAGAACAAAUGUGUAAGUAACUAUGCACGUCUUGACGGUACCUAAUCAGAAAGCCACGGCUAACUACGUG
rnacentral:rRNA from 1 species